AGUGAACGCUGGCGGUAGGCCUAACACAUGCAAGUCGAACGGCAGCACAGUAAGCGCUUGCUCUUACGGGUGGCGAGUGGCGGACGGGUGAGGAAUACAUCGGAAUCUACUUUUUCGUGGGGGAUAACGUAGGGAAACUUACGCUAAUACCGCAUACGACCUACGGGUGAAAGCAGGGGAUCUUCGCACCUUGCGCGACUGAAUGAGCCGAUGUCGGAUUAGCUAGUUGGCGGGGUAAAGGCCCACCAAGGCGACGAUCCGUAGCUGGUCUGAGAGGAUGAUCAGCCACACUGGAACUGAGACACGGUCCAGACUCCUACGGGAGGCAGCAGUGGGGAAUAUUGGACAAUGGGCGCAAGCCUGAUCCAGCCAUACCGCGUGGGUGAAGAAGGCCUUCGGGUUGUAAAGCCCUUUUGUUGGGAAAGAAAAGCAGCAGGUUAAUACCCCGCUGUUCUGACGGUACCCAAAGAAUAAGCACCGGCUAACUUCGUG
rnacentral:rRNA from 1 species